CACACCUUUCAUCUCUAAGAAACAUGACAGAGGCCGGUUGACUUUCACUUUGAACACCUCAGCACUAAAAGUAUGCACACGCUAUGUUGUUAAUAUCCUUUCUGAGCGGCUUUCUGUGAUUCAUACAUACAUAGAAAGGCAGGAUUUACGUACCAAAACCUCAUUCCUAAUCCUGAGCAAAUAUUUCUGUAGGUGUGGCUUCGUGGGAGCUGCCUCCAUGCUGCUUCAGAAACCUACGUGUUGUGUGAAUAAGAUUUAAUUUUGAUUUCUCAGAGUUGAUUCACUGAGUGUGUGACUGGUCCGUUCUUUUUUAAAACUGUCGGGAGCUUGCAUGGAGAGAACCAGUCAAUAUGCUGUUUUCACUAUGGACUGAGUUUGCUAUUAUUAUUAUUAUUAUUAUUAUUAUUAUUAUUUGCAAAUGCUCCUCGUUUUCCCAGGUGAGACUCACCUGGCACCUUCAUUACAUAUCUUUAGGCACCAGGCAAAAACAUUCCUCUUCUCCCAGGACUUUGGCUAUUUAAACAAUCUAUAACCUUUUAAACUGUGUGCUGUGCGGGGGGGUGAGUUAUUGUUUUGUUUGUUAUUAAGUUAUGAUUUUUUAAAAAAAACUGUAAACCACCAAGUGACCCUUGAAUGAAGGGCAGUAUUUAAAUUUAAUAGAUAAAAUAAAAAUAAAUAAGUGGGGAGAAGUUCUGCUUUUAUUAGAUGUUGCAACAGUGGAAAUUUGUGAAAUUGCUUAAUUUACAAAUACAUCAGCAGAUCACAUAGGAUGCAAAGAGAUGCUACUUCAGCAGGAAGCAAUCACCCACCAAGAACUCAGCUGAUAUGCCUCAACCCUUUUCUCUUUUCGCUGCCCCUGCUACUUUUGAACUCUUCACUGUUUCUCAAUCUGAUGAUGGGCCAAAUCAACAGGAAAGUGAAAAAAACCUAACUAUGACCUUUUAAACUCCUUCAAGUUCCAUGUGGUUCAUGCAUUGUGCUGCAAGUUCCUCUUUCUCUCUCUCUCUUUUUAAAAUAAUUUUUAUUGGAAUUUUAUUUACAACAUAACAUAAACCCACCACCUACCCCAAUACACAAUCCACCCUCAUUAAACGUGAACAUAGCAUACAGUCAGCAUAACAUACAACAAGAC